rnacentral:rRNA from 1 species
GCCUAACACAUGCAAGUCGAGGGGUAACAGGGAAGAGCUUGCUCUUUCGCUGACGACCGGCGCACGGGUGCGUAACGCGUAUACAACCUACCUUUUGGAGGGGAAUAGCCCAGGGAAACUUGGAUUAAUGCCCCAUAGUAUGGGAAUAUCUCCUGAUAUUUUCAUUAAACAUUUAUGGCCAUUAGAUGGGUAUGCGUCCUAUUAGUUAGUUGGUAAGGUAACGGCUUACCAAGGCAGCGAUAGGUAGGGGUCCUGAGAGGGAGAUCCCCCACACUGGUACUGAGACACGGACCAGACUCCUACGGGAGGCAGCAGUGAGGAAUAUUGGACAAUGGGCGAGAGCCUGAUCCAGCCAUGCCGCGUGCAGGAAGACUGCCCUAUGGGUUGUAAACUGCUUUUACAGAGGAAGAACCACUCCCACGUGUGGGAGUUUGACGGUACUCUGCGAAUAAGGAUCGGCUAACUCCGUGCCAGCAGCCGCGGUAAUACGGAGGAUCCAAGCGUUAUCCGGAAUCAUUGGGUUUAAAGGGUCCGUAGGCGGGCAGUUAAGUCAGUGGUGAAAGUCUUCCGCUCAACGGGAGAACUGCCAUUGAUACUGAUUGUCUUGAGUUAUUAUGAAGUGGUUAGAAUGAGUAGUGUAGCGGUGAAAUGCAUAGAUAUUACUCAGAAUACCGAUUGCGAAGGCAGAUCACUAAUAAUAUACUGACGCUGAUGGACGAAAGCGUAGGUAGCGAACAGGAUUAGAUACCCUGGUAGUCUACGCCGUAAACGAUGGUUACUAGCUGUUCGGCCCGAUUAAGGGCUGAGUGGUUAAGCGAAAGUGAUAAGUAACCCACCUGGGGAGUACGUUCGCAAGAAUGAAACUCAAAGGAAUUGACGGGGGCCCGCACAAGCGGUGGAGCAUGUGGUUUAAUUCGAUGAUACGCGAGGAACCUUACCAGGGCUUAAAUGUAGUCUGACAGGAGUGGAAACACUUUUUUCUUCGGACAGAUUACAAGGUGCUGCAUGGUUGUCGUCAGCUCGUGCCGUGAGGUGUCAGGUUAAGUCCUAUAACGAGCGCAACCCCUGUGGUUAGUUGCCAGCGAGUAAUGUCGGGAACUCUAGCCAGACUGCCGGUGCAAACCGCGAGGAAGGUGGGGAUGACGUCAAAUCAUCACGGCCCUUACGUCCUGGGCCACACACGUGCUACAAUGGUAGGGACAGAGAGCAGCCACUUCGCGAGAAGGAGCGAAUCUACAAACCCUAUCACAGUUCGGAUCGCAGUCUGCAACUCGACUGCGUGAAGCUGGAAUCGCUAGUAAUCGCAUAUCAGCCAUGAUGCGGUGAAUACGUUCCCGGGCCUUGUACACACCGCCCGUCAAGCCAUGGAAGCCGGGGGUACCUGAAGUCGGUCACCGCAAGGAGCCGCCUAGGGUA